AAGCUGGGCACUCUGUGGAGACUGCCAGGGAUAACCUGGAGGAAGGUGGGGAUGACGUCAAAUCAUCAUGCCCCUUAUGAUCUGGGCUACACACGUGCUACAAUGGCGUAAACAAAGGGAGGCAAAGCCGCGAGGUGGAGCAAAUCCCAAAAAUAACGUCUCAGUUCGGACUGCAGUCUGCAACUCGACUGCACGAAGCUGGAAUCGCUAGUAAUCGCGAAUCAGAAUGUCGCGGUGAAUACGUUCCCGGGUCUUGUACACACCGCCCGUCACACCAUGGGAGUUGGUAACGCCCGAAGUCAGUGACCCAACCUUUCAGGAGGGAGCUGCCGAAGGCGGGACUGAUAACUGGGGUGAAGUCGUAACAAGGUAGCCGUAUCGGAAGGUGCGGCUGGAUCACCUCCUUUCUAAGGAA
rnacentral:rRNA from 1 species